ACAACACAUCACCAUCUUCAUUGAGUUGCUCAAUAGCUGUACGUAAAAGCAAACUAUUGCUAGCACGAUUAAGUCUAGAAGCCGGAUCUCUGAUCUGUACAAAACAUAAAAUAUUUCAAAGUUGUACUUUACAUUGAUGCUUCUUACGUAUAAAGUCCCACAUGUUUGGAUGCUUGCCAAAAUACCUCAAUAGCUGAGCAUGAAAGGACUCCAGAUAAUUAUUUGUCCUUACUUCACUACCAUAUACACUUAUCAUAUUUGGCCCAACUGUACGAAGCCAAAAGUUCUGUAUGUAACUAUUUGAACAAGAAAAUUUAUAUAAGUGUGACUAUUAAUUCAUAUUAUAGGAAUUUUUAAUCUACCCUAUUAAAAAGUUUUGCAUUUGUAGAUAAAUAUCUGAAUAAUGUUGGACAUAUUCCAUUACCUACCUACUACUUUAUCUACAACAAUCACAUUCAAACCUUCAUAAUAACACAAAAAAUGUACACUUACAGAGAACAUUAAAUAAUACAAGUAAAGACUAUAUCUAAUGAACACAACUAUAAAACCAAGAUAUUGACUAAAUAAUAUGUAAUUUUUAUAUUAUUUAAUAACGAUAGUCAGCAAAAGAGAGCUUCCUGAUAAACUAAAAAGUGACUUACACAUGGACUAAUUCAACAAUGUAAUCUUCACUUCAUAUAUCUACCAGUGCCACAACUACCACUGGUACAGGCGUUACAAGGCAAAUGUGAUGUAUUAAAAGAUUCAAUAUUGUAGUUGCAGCACUGAUAUCAACCAUAGUAGUUGUCAUACAACUAUCCAGCUACUCAUCAUGAGUAAAUUUUACCCUUAAAGUUAUAUUUUGUAUAUUUGAAUGUUUUAGUAUAAAUAUUUUAUUUUUAUUUUGUAUUUCGGGUUUUAAUUAAUAACAA